rnacentral:rRNA from 1 species
UACGGAGGAUGCAAGCGUUAUUCGGAUUCAUUGGGUUUAAAGGGUGCGUAGGCGGACUAUUAAGUCAGUGGUGAAAGCCUGCAGCUUAACUGCAGAACUGCCAUUGAUACUGAUAGUCUUGAGUUUGGUUAAGGUAGGCGGAAUGUGUAAUGUAGCGGUGAAAUGCUUAGAUAUUACACAGAACACCAAUUGCGUAGGCAGCUUACUGAGCCGACACUGACGCUGAGGCACGAAAGCGUGGGGAUCGAACA